GGUGGCUGACUGAAGCCUGCUGUUGAGGCUGUGGGCUGGAGGAAAGGGAGGACACCGAGAGGGUUUGUCCUCUGGAUUUUGUUGUACACACACUGUCAUUUCUGAGCCAUGGGACAGCUGCGAAAUUUGGGGGAUGCAGUGGGCAGGACCGACCACGGUGGCUGCUGCUGGAUGAGAGGCACCGGAGCAGGGUCCCAAAUCCCCCAAGAGCAGCUCCCACCCCCAGCAGGCCCCAGCGAGGAUGAGUGAGCUCCGCCAAUGGCUCAGAACUGGGGGAUGAGAAGGAGAAGCUCUUGCCAAUGGUGAAUUUUUGCUUCCUGGGCAACAUGUCCCGGGCUCCCCAUCCCCCUGCAGCAUCCCCCCGGCAGCACCUGGGAGCAGAGGGAUGGGCCAUCCCUGGGGAGCAGGUACCAGUGCCUUGUCCUGCUUUGAAAUUGUACCUUUUGGUGUAGGUCCUACUGCAGGGGCAUUUCUGGCUGACGACUGAAUAAAGGCUUCUAAGAAUACAAA